UGCUGUUAGGGGUCUUUCUAGUUGCCUAAAACUGUGCCUAGAUGAAGGCAGUGGGGAUAGGAGAGGCCACCUGAGGGACCAAGAUGACAAUUUUGAGGUCUGAAAACAAUGUUCUACAAUAAUGGUAUAAUGUUUUUAUAUCACUUUAUGGGUUAUAUAAUAUGUUGACAUGUAUCAUUUAAUCUUUGAAAAACGCUAUGAUUAUAUUAACCCAUGUUUCAGAUAAGUAAGUUGAAAAUUACAAGGUUAAAUUACUUUGCCUAAAGCCAACACAAGUGAGUGGUGGGGCUGAUACUCUAACUUUGACUAUUUUUACCCACUCUUGAGUCUUGUGAGUCAUAAAUGACAAGUAGUCAAGUGCUCUUAGAGAGAACUGUGUACGGGGACCAGGAAAGGGCUGAGAGUGCUGGUGGACACAUGGCAGUCAGUGGGGUUUCAGCCUCAGUUAGGGCAGGGAUGCUGAUUCCCUUUGGUUUUUCAAGUCUCCAUGACUGUUGGUCAGUGAGCUCUGGAGAAUCUCUUCAGCCAAUACUUGAUACUCAGAAUUCUGUCAUGAUAGAGUAGUUACAAGUUUGGUCUUAAAGGACCCUGGAAUCUAUAAUGGGUGUCAAAAAAAAAGACAGCGGAAGUAGAGUGAUGUCAUAUAACAAGAGUAUUAUUGUUUUAUAAAGCUUAGAAUCUGGUAAUGCUCUUGCUUUUAGGGUUUUGUAUAGUGAAAAGAGUCCUCUGAAACCCAACCAUCACUGCCAACCUGAGCUCUGAUGGGCUCAACAGCUGCUUCUUGGGUGAAAGGGGCAGCUGCUUCACCCUCCCCCUCUGGCCUGGCGUUCUUUUAUUUUCCUCCUGAGUGACACUAACCCGAAAUAGAAACAGAAACAACAUAGAAAGGACUCCUGGAGACAAGUCGGACCCAGCGUUUGCCUUUUACUAAAGAAACACAAAGUGUUGUAUGGGUUUCCUCCGUAAGUUCUUGUUUGUUUGUUUGUUUGUUUGUUUGUUUGUUUGAAGCAAGUUUGACUGUUGUAAUCAAGGUUGGCCUUGAACUCUUGAUUCUCCAAGAAUGCUGGAUCCUCUUGACUGUUAGAAUUAUGGGAGAGAGCCAUUGUACUUGACUUAGAAAGUAUUGUAUUUUAUUAGGAUUAAAACAAAAACAGUUCCCCUGUGAGAUGAGGUAUUUAAGACAUCGAGCUCCAGUCACCUUUGUAUAUGCUUGGGGGAGACUCAGGCAGCUGGAGCUCAGACUAAAGGCCAGCCUGGGCCACACAGUGAGAGCAUGUGGCAGCGGGGGAAGGAAAAACCUAUCUCAUUCGGAUAACUUUACUCGCUAUUGUUUAUUAAAAACAAAUGACAUUAUGUGGUAAAAGUAAAAAAGAAAGAAAAACAAAAAUCCAAGUUGCUGGAAAAUGU
rnacentral:lncRNA from 1 species